UGUAUUUCAUGCAGUUUCAAACAGAACGUGCUUUUCUAUAUUAACCGUGCUCUAUGUCCCUCUUCAUUUCACUUCAACAGCUCCACAGAUCAAUCCUACAAAUGUCUACUCAGAAGCAAGUCUCACUGAGUUCAAUAGGUGAAGGACUGCAGCCUCAAAGUCAAAAUCAGAGAAAUAGGAACCUUUAGAUCAGGCCUGCAAGGGCCGCUGGAGUGGAAGGAGGGGCAUGUUUAAUUGGAACUGCAGAACAGGACCCAUCUGGCAAUGACUGGAUUUCUGGAUUCAUUUUCCCCCCAACGGCAUAAUAACAUGAAUCCAGAGAGGCUAAAACUCUCCAUCCAUCUGUUGCCUGGUCUGCUUUCUCUCAGUCCAUGGAUAUACAGGCAAAGAAGAGCUGUAGCUCAGCUCUGAAGUUUUCAGUUUGUUCUUUACCCUUGAUCCAUACUGAGCGUGUUUCAAGACAGGCAGCGUGCUUGAUAGAACAAUUUCAACUCUCUCUGUUUUUUCACAGCUUCAGACAGCAAAAUAAAAGGCUGCUCAUGCAGAGGCACAUUGAGCUUGCUGAAAGUUGUUGCAGACAAAAUAGGGGGGGGGUGGAGUUUGGUUCGCCAAAAAUAUAAACAAAACUAACUCCCUCCCCCCCAGCCUCGAUUAUUUUAUCUCAUUAGCUUUAUCUUCUUGUGUGGGCGAAUUAGCCUUUUUUUUUGGAGACAUGUAGUACUAAACUCAACAAGAAUAAGAGGAAGAAGAAACCUCAUUCAUGUUUGCUCUUAUCAGUAGGAAACUUUUAAUUGCUUUUCUCCGUUUAGGCAGAAUAUAGUAGGGAAUAGUCAUGAAAAUGAAUCGGAAUGCUCCAUAGGGGUCUACCCUAAUUUGACUCAAAUUACUAUCAGAAGAAACAAGGCAUUAUUUGCUCUGCGUUGCCGAAAUAAUUGAUUUAGCAAAAAUAAAACAAACCGUGGGGGUGCA
rnacentral:lncRNA from 1 species